UACGUAGGGUGCGAGCGUUAAUCGGAAUUACUGGGCGUAAAGCGUGCGCAGGCGGUUAUAUAAGACAGUUGUGAAAUCCCCGGGCUCAACCUGGGAAUUGCAUCUGUGACUGUAUAGCUAGAGUACGGUAGAGGGGGAUGGAAUUCCGCGUGUAGCAGUGAAAUGCGUAGAUAUGCGGAGGAACACCGAUGGCGAAGGCAAUCCCCUGGACCUGUACUGACGCUGAGGUGCGAAAGCGUGGGGAGCAAACAGG
rnacentral:rRNA from 1 species